rnacentral:lncRNA from 1 species
GUUCGCUCUAGCCUUUUUAUCACUUUCAAUGGGGACAUUGAAAAAAUUAAGUUUGGGGGUGGUAAUCUAAGGAAUAGCAUAUUAUAAUGUAGUUUAUUAUUGCAUGUGUUAGUUAGUUCAUGUAGUUCACGUUUAUUUUAUUUUGCUUUGAUUAUUUCUCACGUUUUUUUUAUUUUCUCACGUUUUCUUUCUAGUUUUUUCUUUUUUUUAUUUUACAUGUUUAGUGGUAAUUGUCGUAGUUAGUAUCACGAGCAUUUGCAUGAAUUAUGAAGUUAAGCCAAGUUAAUUGCCUAUGAUGAGUUAUGUGCGUAGUUCUUGAUUAGUAGUUUCAAUUGCAAUGCUAGGUUAGUACUUGGAAAUUGCUUGUGUUGGAAAUUGUAAUUCACAUAUGUUCUUGAGAUAGGAUUUAGACGAAAUUCCAUGAAUUCUAGGAUUGAAUUGAG